rnacentral:rRNA from 1 species
UACGUAGGGUGCAAGCGUUGUCCGGAAUUAUUGGGCGUAAAGAGCUCGUAGGCGGUCUGUCGCGUCGGCUGUGAAAUCCCGAGGCUCAACCUCGGGUCUGCAGUCGAUACGGGCAGGCUAGAGGUAGGUAGGGGAGAAUGGAAUUCCCGGUGUAGCGGUGAAAUGCGCAGAUAUCGGGAGGAACACCGGUGGCGAAGGCGGUUCUCUGGGCCUUACCUGACGCUGAGGAGCGAAAGCGUGGGGAGCAAACAGG